rnacentral:lncRNA from 1 species
GUCGAGGGAUGGAAUGAUCGGUUUCGACUGGUAUGACAAUUGAGGGACGAAACUAAACCAUUGCAAGAGUCAAGGGUCGAAAGUAGACUUUUUCCUCCUAGAUAAGAGCAUCAAGUUAGUGAAAUGCUGCAUAAAGUGUACAUAUAGUGAUAUUGUGGUGGCUAUAGAUAAACAAAGGAGGGGUAAAUGAAGCUACACUACAAUUAUGAGGAUAAGAACCCUGCCAUUUAUUAAGGACAAUUAAUAUGACCGGUUGCAUGCACAACAAUAGUAGGUCAGGGAAGUCAGCAGCACAUCAGCCUCGCUUUUCAGUGGAGGCAUAUUAUAAGACUAAUCAGGUAGCUGUAGUUUAUUAGGUAAAGCAGGCUAGAUUUUGCAUGCUCAUAUUUGAUUAAAACCGUAGGACUAAUCAGGUAGCUAUAGUUUAUUAGGUAGAACAGGCUAGAUUUUUGCAUGCUCAUAUUUGAUUAAAACUGUAGGACUUGCAUAUACUCCCAAAUAAAAAGGAAAGGAGAGAACAGAGAAAGAAACCUCAAGAAAUCAGACAAAAGCAUUCCAAUUGUAAAUGACCUUGAGCUUACCCGAGCACUCUGAUACCUGGUAACAAAGAAUGCACAGAAAAUGUUAGUUAUGAAGCCAUUGUUCUGUUACAAACUCUGAGACGAACCCAAAAAAAAAACAGUUGCAGCUAAACAAACCAUGGGCCACAUUUCAUGUCACUUUUGUUCCGUACCAAAUUCUUGUCUUGUUAGCAUAAUAGAUUCAUCCUGAAUUCAUUUACCCAUCAUGGUACUGUAAUUAUCACCAAAUUUAGUCCAAAAUAAGCCACAUACUAUGCAUUACGAGAAUAACAUCUUAUAACUUUAUUACAAUUGCAACUUAGUAAGCUAUUGUUUAUUUUGAGGCACUUUUCGGUUUUUUCAGGGAGGAGAUGUUGGACAUCUUCAAAGAUUAUUACCUAAUACCAAUGACCCCAAGCAGGUAUCAUCUUUGCCCUAUCACAAAAUUCAAUUUACUUUAGAUAUAGUUGGUAUACAUAGAGUUUUUCUUUUUCAUUUGAUGAUAUUUAGGAAUGUUUUCUUACAAACAGUCUAACAAUGCAAAAUUCUUCACGAUUAUAUAUAGGUUCUGUAUGUGACACAUCAUAUUACCAAAGAGAUGCUCAACAACAAGGCCCAAGGUAUGUGCUAUUCACUUGCUAUUUUUAGGUGACCUAGAAUAUGGUGGAUGUUAUAAACUUGACUGAAUAUAAUAGUUUGGGUCUGUUAGAGGAAGGGAUUAUUAUACUAUCAUACAUCAUCAUGGAAAAUCAUGAUGAAUGGGUGCCGACUCUAGCUGGCACCAAAACAGCCACAAUACAUGCAUCUGGGAAUGAUCAAGCACAAGGUGGUACCCAGGCGUAUAAUUGUACUUUUGUAGCAAUAUCCCAAAUUAUCCUCUCCUGUUUUAACUCUAAAAAUAGGAGCCAGUGAACAUAGCUUUACGAGUUAUAUACAUAAAGAGUACUCAGCAAAAUCAAGUGACAACCAUCAUUUUCCUUAACACUUGAUGUGCAUCCAGCACAACGAAAACUGGAAGAAAUUUUAUAUGCUUGAAGAUAACGAUAUAAUGUGUUUUGUUUUUAUUCCAUUAGUCUGGAUUUUUCCAUUUAUAUUAUUUCAGUAAUAAUUGGUCGUGCUGCAUUUUGUAAGGUUGGAAGACUAUGCAAAUUAUACCUGAGCUGGAAAAGGAAUUGCAAAUUAUCAGAGAACAGGGGUCAAUUCGACAGGUAUUCUUUUUCUAAAAAAAAUAAACACAAAAUUGCUACAAUGUUUCGGACAGAUGGUUAGCCCAUUUCCCCUCUCAAAGUGGAGAUCAGUACAUGUUCUGAUGUUUUUUGCGUGAAAACUUAAAAGACAUUCUCUCCUACUGAGUGGUUCUCAAUAUGCUUACAUGCUACAAUGAUUAAGGGUGAUUCAGAUGGUAACAUGAAAAAUAUAUUGAAUAAAAUGUCUAACCAAUAUUUAAUGUCUUCUCUAUUUAUUGUUCAUUUAUGGAUUAUCUAGAGUAGCAUGCAAUCAUUCUGUUUGUUAGCUUCUGCUUAAUUGCUUAUGGCUUGUUCUUUCCAAUUUGGACUCUCCAACACAGAUUAUUAUUCGUGCCAGAGUGAAAUCAAAUAGUGUAGAAGAUAAAAUCUGUAUGCUCAGAAGCACCACUGAGUAAGACAAUAGUGUUGUUCAUUCUACUUUCUUCCUAUUCAAUAUUUUUUCUCUCUCGAAUGAUUUUGCAGCAAAUAAGUAAUUGUGUUUUUAUUUUGGACAGGGUUGAUGUAAUGGAGAAAAUAAACAAACUGACCAGUGAGAAGAAAGAAGGGAAUGGACAGCGAACGUGAAACUGCUGAAAAGAGGCUAGCUUCAAAGGUAACUUUGCACACUUAUUUCAACCAUCUGCGACGCUAUGGUAGUUAAUUUAGGAAUUAGUAUCAGCUAACAGCAGAUUGUUUUGUUUUAUUUCAGUUUAAUGAUAAAUGGGGUCCAGUUAUGAAGGCUGGGAAUAAGAAUUCCCGAUUUGCUCGCGAGGUGGCAUUUAAUUUGUUGAGAUUUUGUUUUGAGGUGUUAUACAACAGUUACCAUUAGCAGUUGACAGUUUCUCUUUUGGCUUUAUUCCGUUUUCGCAGGUAGAAAGAUCAGCAUGGUUAUAUACCAGCAGGGCGUCAAACUUGGCUGCUGAGAGAUGUUAUGAACAAUCAGACCAGUUGAUGGCACAUGACUCCGAUUUGUUGAGCUUCCAUUUGGGCAAGGACUGAAGCAGUUUAUAGCCAAACUAGGUCGAUCUAGCUUCCUUGUAGGCAAGGACUGAUGCAGUUUAUAGCCAAAAAAAUGGGAUCAACCCAACCCAUCCCGGUUCUUUUUUUUUGGGGGACAAAAAGAAAAGGAAGUGAUAAUAGCCAAACUAGGUCGAUCUAGCUUCCUUGUAGGCUAGCUAAAUGGAUGAUACUAGUUGUGAUCUAAACGUUAAUACAACGAAAGUCCCAAGGCCCAAAUUUUGGAUUUGCAAGUUUUUGGUUCCAUACAUACCUGGAUCGGAAAAGAUCCACUGGAUCUGGAGCACCCUUCUCAAUGCCUGUCUUCAACUCCUUCCCCGCUCACGCUCAGACUGCUUCGCAAAGGUCGAAGGAGGCUUGAUCCGCCGCAAACAGCGCCGGUUAAGCAAUCCCCACCCAAACCACGACCACACACAUCGACGGGGCGCAGAUCGAGCGAUGAUGAAAGAACCUCGACCCCACGUUAAUUCGGGGGCGAAGCCGGGGAAUUCAACUAUUCGCCGCUACUAGGUUGGGAAAGCAGUAGGUUCGUCAAUUGUCCAAAUAACCCUCUAUCUGCCUUUAUUUUUUUCCGCUCUAGGACGGUGGUUUCUUAACUAUUUACCACUUUUACUCACGUGGCAUGCUAACAUGGCAAACCAGUGUAAAAAUCGAUGUAGG